rnacentral:lncRNA from 1 species
UGGGAGUAGAGAGUGGUGGAGAGAAAGAGAGAAGGUCAGAGAGGUCAGUAAAGUCCAGACCAUGCACAGCUUCAGGUCAGGUGAAGAAUGGGAAGCUAUUGGCAGAUUUUAAGCAGGGGAAUGUCAUGAUCUAAUGUUUUCAAAAGACCACUCUAGCAGGAGUGUGGUGGAGUGAGAGUGGGUGUGGGAAGAGCAGUUAUAUGACCAUUUAAGCGAUCUUAGCAGACAUGAUGGCAGCUCUGCAAUGAAGACCAGGAGAUGAACACGGGAUACAUUUUGGAGUUGUAGCUGAUCGGGCAUACUGAUGGAUUAGAGGGGGGUAGCAGUAAGCAAGGGGUCUUUGAAGAGUUCACCCAGGAGCUUCAAAAUGAGGAACAGUGCUUGCAAUUUCCUUGAAUACUAAGAACAUCCAGCUAUUUGUAGACAGAUAAAAGAGAGCAGCCCCCAGAGGUGCUGAUCCAGCCAAGAUAGCUCAUCCAGGUAACUGCACUGGGGAAAAGAUUAUAUCCAAAACUUUUGGAUUGCUCGACAUUAGAUGUUAACUCUGAGCUAAUACUAAUUUCCAGGGACCCAGAAUGAACUUAUCAAUGGAUAUCAGGAAUGGAGAUGACACAUGAAUAAGCACAGUAACAAGGAUUUCCCCUCACCAGGAUGACGUGGCCUUUGCCAUUGCUGAGAACCCAUUUUGCACGCAAUGAUUGAAUAGAGAAUGCCACCAUGUGAAGUGAUAUUUGAGCUGGAACCUGAGUGAAUGAUGGAAUGGAGAAGUCAGGUACAGAGCUGUGGGGAUAGCAUCACAGGACUGAACAGAAGUAGCUGUGCAACCACCACUAGAAGCCUUCUGAGCGUGUUACUGAAGAGGAUGAGGCAGGAGGCUUCCAGAGGCAACAGCCAAGACUAAGCCAUCAACCACAGGGCCAAACCCAGUAAAAAAGAAAAAUAAGAACACUUCCACUUAAAGAACUGCUGCAAUUAUACUGUUCCUUUUUUUUUUCCAUUAACAUGUCUUUCCUUUUAUGAUGGCGAGAGUUAAUAUUAAGGUGUGCAUAUAUGUUUGUUAAACGAUCUCAUUUUGCAAUUAAAAGUUUGCACUUAUAUUAA